AGCUGCCAUUGGACAUCAGCCAUCUUGGUAAUGGAAAAACUGUGUUUUGGUUUCCUUGCCCCUCUGGUCAGGAGUCCCCAACUUUAGUUGGAAGAGAAGUGAACGGAAAUCGUGUCGGAGAGGAGAGCAGUACUUCUUCGAGGUAGGCAUUCCUGGAAGAGAAGUUUAGUUGGAAGCAUUCCUGGCCUCUGAACCUCUUCACGAGACCUGCUGAACAAACCCCCUUACAACAUGGCAGUAGCUCUGAAACAAACCCAGGACUGAAGAAGCUGGUGAAGGAUCCCGGAGCCUGAAAAAAAACAGCAUCCUGACUUGAUUGCAGUGCACCUGAGUUGAAAACACAGCUAGAGACAGCCUAAAAAGAAGCUCUGCUGCAGACAUGUAGGCCGAAGGGUCGAAGAAAAAUCCAUUGUGCAGCUAAAGGGCUCCACCAGAGCACGUGGCAGUCCAUUGUGAAUUCCCAUCGAUUGUAGAAUCAAAGGACCUAGCAAGGGUGAACAAAAAUUCAGUUCCCUGGCUAACCAGUCUUCAGGCCAUUCAUCAGUCCGAGCUCUGAAGAAUAGUCAUACAGACUCGAAACCUUAAUUUUCUUUUUCUCUCCGCAGAUGCUGGUAGACCUGCUGAGCUUUUCCAGUUUUCUGUUUUUGAAUCAGUCAGAGCAGUCUGUUUCGUUAAUCACCGCAGCCAACCUGAGUUCAGAGACUGGCCACGCCACGUGACAGCCGAGCUUCGGGAAUCACCUUUUUAACUUCCCUAAAAUGUUCUAAAAGGCCCGAAUCUUUGAUUUAAAACAAAAAUUUCACUGCAAGAAAAUGAUCCCUUUUGAGGACAGAUCCGCAAUCGCCACUAGAACUUGCCAAACGCAGAAGCAUUGACAAAAUAGUUACUAGUGAAGCCAUCUUUAAAAGUGAAACAGCAUUUAAAGUUAUACUCCCCUGAGCUGAAAAGCAAACAUGGAUAAUAAAUCAACCCUACCAGAUCAAUUUGGGCUGAUACAAGGGCAGAAUUGGGGGCUUUGGCAAAAAGGAUUUUCGAGAUGCAUGAUAGCUUCGGGAUUUGAUAAGAAGACAGAGGCUGGACAAGUGAAUACUCUACUGUACUCAGUAGGUCGAAUAGCCGAUGAAAUCAUUGUGAGGCAAGGAAUAAAUAAAUCUUCAGAUAAGUUUGAAGAGUUUCUGAAAUCCUUCAAUACCUACUUUAAGAAGUAAUAAAAUUUUAGAGCUAGCAAUGCUUAACAAGUGAGUCCAACAGCCUGGAGAACCUGUUGACUCUUUCAUAAUCUAAUUAUACAGAUUGACUGAAGGCUGUGACUACAGCGACCUUAAGUCAGAGCUCAUAUGAGUCCAAAUAGUAGUUGGAGUGGCUGACAAUGCCCUUUCAGACAUACUACAGACAAAAGAAGAUCUGACACUAGAAAAAGCCAUCCAAAUAGACAGUCUGAAAUUCGUCAACAACACCAGUCCAUUCUAUGUAGUGAGGUUAAGCCAUGGUAUAAAGCAACACCAACUGUCCAGCUCAUAAAGCAGCAAAAGGUCAGGGAGACUCCAGGCCAAGGAAAACAAUACCCAAACAGAGCACAUCAUGGUGGAAGACCAUGUCAACGCUAUGAAGCCAAAAGAUCACACUGGUGAGAGCAAUGUCCAGCAAUCUCUGUGCCGUAUUUCAACUGCAACCUGGGACACUUUGGAAAGCUGUGCAAGUCUAUGACGUCAAGAAGUGCAGAGGAUCCCAAAACAGCCCAUGAGAUUGAGGUACCACACCAGGACAAAGUUCAGCCAUGCUCCUUGGGUGAGAUCAAGGAUCCUGGGUUCUCCUUUUGGAAUGCUGACAUCUCUGUAAAUGGUUACCUCACCAAUUUCAAAUUAGAUAUGGGAGUCAGUGUUAUGGCCCUCUUGGAUAUGGAACCAUGGCUGAAAGACCUCUGGCUAUGAGUGACAGGCACACCAAUCUAUGGCCCUGGAGGAAUCUGACUUCUGGUGAGAGAUAUGAUCGAAGGACCACUCGAGUGACAAGCAAAUAGUUAAGAUUUUGUACGUCAUCCAACACUAUCCUUUUCUCUCUUAAGUAGGGAUGCCAGUGUUGCCCAUGAGCUCAUGGAUGAGGAGCAUUCAAACAGAAUGGAGAUACACCGUCAACUCCCAGAGAGAUCACAGUGGACCCCAUGGAAAAAGAAAACCUAGGUUCAUAGUAUGAAGGAACGGAUUGAGCACUGCCCCUGGAAGGAACAGGGCAGGCCUUUGGUGUCCGAACAAAGCAGAUGAAUUGUUGAUAAGGAAAGGUUGAAUUCUAGGGGGCACAAAAAGCGAAUUAAAUGGGGACGACCAAGUGCCACAAACACACAAUACGAUUUCAAUUCCAAGCCAGCAACGCUUGACCAAAGCAACUGAGCCUGCCAGUCCUCCACAUGUGAUCAGGACAAGAUUGAGAAAAUUUGUCAAGCCUCCAGACCAACUGAAUUUAUAAAGUCAGAAACCUGAGAGGGGGAGAAGGGGUAGCACUUUUUUUUAAAGUGUUGGGUAAAGACUCGGGGAGGUCUUGUACAUGGGUGUCUGCCAUAGUAAGGGUUAAUGUGGAACUGGAGAAUAGUACCACCCACAGUGUGAUGUAACAGGUCACAUGACAAAGGACCUGGGUCAGUCUAAGAGUGUGCCGAGGUCUGUAUAGAAGUAAACGGAGUUCGCUCGUAGCGUGGGCUAUACCUUGUGUAUAUGUGAAUAAUUAUCUGUUACCAAUAAACACUACUGUUCAACCUUA